UGGUGCCUGCACAUACCCACCCAGGCACAUACGUGUUCCACGUGUCACUGAAGAGCAAACAUAUAGCAUAUAACCAUAUCUUCCAAUCAAAAGAAAUGCCCACAUAAACUGAAACCAAGAGGACACGAGCCCGUUCUGCCAUGCGCGCAGCCCUCUCACGCAGAUAGGAUCCACCGCUGAAACGCGAGUGCCUGUGACAAACUACAUCUCUUGCGGGCACUUCCACUGACUUCUGCUGCACCAUUGAUAGCACUUCCUCGUAUGCUACAGCAAGCAAGCUAGAUUUUUCUUAUGGACUGAUGACAGACAUCACUGCAGCUAUGACAAAUUGGGGAAACCUACCUGGUGCGUUUAAUUAACAUCCAAGCUGGAAUUAAGGAAGACUUGGCUUUCAGCUCCAUGAGUGGAAUUAGCGGGGACAAGAGCGCUCGGCUGUGAGAGCCCUUGACUGUGGUUUUUGCUGCAGCUGGAGCACUGCCUGAGCCAGGGUGGACUCCUGGAGGGUAGGAUCGAAGGCUCAUCCCUUU
rnacentral:lncRNA from 1 species